UAACGAGGCGGCCGCCUCCAAGUACGGGAGGCUCUGCUUCUGGGCCAGGAGGCGGAAGUGCUGGUCCAGGUUGCCCCCGAAGAGCCGGGGCAGGCGCAGCUGCACGUCUGGCAAGGGCGUGGUCGGCUGCCCCCAGAGCCCGUGCUUCCGCAGGUGCUCGAUGCUGCGCUGCACCGCGGCCUCGUCGGGCACGUCCCCUCCGCACCCGAAGAUUUGCUCGUGCAGGCCUCUCGACAGCAUCUGGAUGUGCAGAGGGUUGAGCCGCAGCUGCCCAUUCUCUGAGGAGGGCAUUUGCGACUGCGGCUGCCCGUCGCUGGGGACGGGGUCGAGGACGGAGCUGGAGACCCAGCGUCCUGUUGCUGGUACUGGCCCUGAGGCGACUUUGGCGCCGGCCACCUUCUUCCAGAGCAGGCGGCUCAUGGUUGGUGCAGGGAGCCCCCCGCUGUGAGUCGGGACACCUGGCUUUGGGCUCCAGCUUGACUGCUUUUUACUGGCC
rnacentral:lncRNA from 1 species